rnacentral:rRNA from 1 species
UACGUAGGCAGCGAGCGUUGUUCGGAGUUACUGGGCGUAAAGGGUGUGUAGGCGGUUUUCUAAGUUUGGUGUGAAAUCUCCCGGCUCAACCGGGAGGGUGCGCCGAAAACUGGGAGACUAGAGUGCGGGAUGGGAGAGUAGAAUUCCUGGUGUAGCGGUGAAAUGCGUAGAUAUCGUAAGGAAGACCAGUGGCGAAGGCGGGUCUCUGGACAGUUCCUGACGCUGAGGCACGAAGGUCAGGGGAGCAAACGGG